UACGUAGGGGGCAAGCGUUGUCCGGAUUUAUUGGGCGUAAAGAGCGUGUAGGCGGCCAGGUAGGUCUGCUGUGAAAACUCGAGGCUUAACCUCGAGCUGUCGGCGGAAACCAUCUGGCUAGAGUCCGGAAGAGGAGAAUGGAAUUCCCGGUGUAGCGGUGAAAUGCGCAGAUAUCAGGAAGAACACCCGUGGCUAAGGCGGGUCUCUAGGACGGUACCUACGCUGAGGCGCGAAAGCGGGGGGAGCGAACAGG
rnacentral:rRNA from 1 species